rnacentral:rRNA from 1 species
AAUGAACGCUGGCGGCAGGCCUAACACAUGCAAGUCGAACGGAUCCUUCGGGAUUAGUGGCGGACGGGUGAGUAACGCGUGGGAACAUACCCAAAGGUACGGAAUAGCCUCGGGAAACUGGGAGUAAUACCGUAUGUGCUCGAAAGAGGAAAGAUUUAUCGCCCUUGGAUUGGCCCGCGUUGGAUUAGGUAGUUGGUGGGGUAAUGGCCUACCAAGCCGACGAUCCAUAGCUGGUUUGAGAGGAUGAUCAGCCACACUGGGACUGAAACACGGCCCAGACUCCUACGGGAGGCAGCAGUGGGGAAUUUUAGACAAUGGGGGAAACCCUGAUCUAGCCAUGCCGCGUGAUCGAUGAAGGCCUUAGGGUUGUAAAGAUCUUUCAGGUGGGAAGAUAAUGACUGUACCACCAGAAGAAGCCCCGGCUAACUCCGUGCCAGCCGCCGCCGUAA